rnacentral:rRNA from 1 species
GCCUAUGACCAAAUCGUCGGAAUGUGCCCGAUCUCGACAGCUCUCUAAAGCAAAGCAGCCUUGAGCCUGGCUAGUGCUUAGAUGUGUAACCACCAUGCACAUCGGGUUGCUAUAGGCU